UACGUAGGGUGCAAGCGUUGUCCGGAAUUAUUGGGCGUAAAGAGCUUGUAGGCGGUUUGUCGCGUCUGCUGUGAAAUUUCGGGGCUCAACCCCGAACUUGCAGUGGGUACGGGCAGACUAGAGUGUGGUAGGGGAGACUGGAAUUCCUGGUGUAGCGGUGAAAUGCGCAGAUAUCAGGAGGAACACCGAUGGCGAAGGCGAGUCCCUGGACAACACCUGACACUGAGGCACGAAAGCCGGGGGAGCAAACAGG
rnacentral:rRNA from 1 species